ACAGGAUUUUGGAAGUUGAUACAUACCAUCAACUUCGUUUUAUCUUCAUUUACUGCCAGACCCAUUUCCACUGACUCUUACGAUUCUUUCAAAGGUUUCCGGUGACCGUUCUAUGAAGUCGAUGUCGUCAGCAAAGGAUAUUAAAGAGAUCACACGAUAUCCUUGUCUGAAACCUCGUUUGGUAUUGAAUGGUCCGGAAAGAUUUUUUCCUAUCCUUACUGAGGAAUAUGUAUCAGCAAAUGUCAUCCUUCAGCCUUAUUAAUUUUACAGGGAUACCAAACUUAUACAUAGCUUGAAAUACUUUUGAACGUAUAGGGCUGUCGAAAGCAGCUUUAUAGUCAACAAAAAGAUGAGCUGCUUAUACUUUGUAUUUAUAUGCUUAUAGACAACAUGGAAAGGUUUUUUCUGGAGUUUAUUCUUUUAGAGGAGGAAAAAUUCGAGAGUAUUUACUUUUAUUUUUACAUUGAUUUCCUUUAAAUUUAUUAAUUUUAAAGAGAGAUAUAUGUAUAUUAUGAUUAU